rnacentral:lncRNA from 1 species
AAAGGAGGGCGGCUCGUCCUUCUCAACUGUGACACCCCAAUAGUCCCACAUCGGAUGGAAAUGGGAUUGUCAUUGGGUUUAUAAGAGACUCAGACACUAGUAAUAAUAAUUGAGCUUAAGCAUUUUGGGCCGAUGGUUGGGCCCAACAAGUUAUUGUUGCUAGUGGGCUGAGUUGUUACAUUUGGUAUCAGAGCCGGUUCACCAGCCAGAAAAGUGUGGCGGGUAUCGGCUGAGCCAGGGUCUAGAUGACGGGCUAGCAAUACGAGUCUCACAUCACCUGGUGCUCUUGGGAUGUGUGUGAUUGGACUGACGAGGACGUCAGGGCCUUAACGGGGGGAGUCUGUGACACCCCAAUAGUCCUACAUCGGAUGGGAAUGGGGUUGUCAUUGGGUUUAUAAGAGACUUAGACACUAGUAAUAAUAACUGGGCUUAAGCAUUUUGGGCCAGUGGUUGGGCUGAAUGAGUUAUUGUUGCUAGUGGGCUGGGUUGUUACAUCAACUCGGUCCUUUCUACCAUUC